GAUGAACGCUGACAGCAUGCUUAACACAUGCAAGUCAACUUGAACUUCGGUUUGGGUGGCGGACGGGUGAGUAACGCGUAAAGAACUUGCCUCACAGUUAGGGACAACAUUUGGAAACGAAUGCUAAUACCUGAUAUUAUGAUUUUAGGGCAUCCUAGAAUUAUGAAAGCUAUAUGCGCUGUGAGAGAGCUUUGCGUCCCAUUAGCUAGUUGGAGAGGUAACGGCUCACCAAGGCGAUGAUGGGUAGCCGGCCUGAGAGGGUGAACGGCCACAAGGGGACUGAGACACGGCCCUUAGUCCUACGGGAGGCAGGAGUGGGGAAUAUUGGACAAUGGACCAAGAGUCUGAUCCAGCAAUUCUGUGUGCACGAUGAAGUUUUUCGGAAUGUAAAGUGCUUUCAGUUGGGAAGAAAAAAAUGACGAUACCAACAGAAGAAGUGACGGCUAAAUACGUG
rnacentral:rRNA from 1 species